AUAAAAAAUCAAACAUCAUUAAAAAUUCAAAAUCAAAAUUCACCAACUUGAAUGGCUGAAAACAUGGGCUUUUUUCCAACCCUAGCUACUUCAUCUUUUGCCAUAAUUCUUGUCUUGCCUCGUAAAACAAAAUAAAGUUAUUAAUCUUUUGGGAACGAUUAAAACGAAAUGAUAAUACCCUUUAAAAAAAAUCAAACUAGAACCACACAGUAAAAUCAAACCAACAUACAUUCAAUUCAUGGCAAAAUUCUAUAUUUACUUACCAAAAACGCUUGUUUCAAUAAUUUAACUUCAAACCUCUGUAAAAAGAAAACAAAAAUAGGGAAAACAAAGGCUCACCUUCCACCAUCGCCUCCCGCAAUUUCUUCACCUCCAACUGCUUUGCACCAUUGCCAUUGGCAAAUCAACGGAUGGAACAUCAUCCCUUUAAAACCUAUAAAAAAAAAACAAAACCAUAUUUGCCUGAAGAUUAGAAGAAGACGAGAAUGGGGAUGGCUGAGAAGGAAAACAAAAAGAAAUAAAGUUGUACUCUUACUUCGUACCUAAAAAUAAGGAGUAUGGUUGCCUCAAAAGUAUGGUCG
rnacentral:lncRNA from 1 species